CCUACCCACAGAAGCCCUGCAGGUGUGGCUGCUGUGUCACAUGUGAGUGCGUAGGUAGCUGAAAGGAGAGAGGCAGAAAGUGGAAGGUCACGAGAGCUUGCCCUGCCCCUCACC
rnacentral:snoRNA from 1 species